rnacentral:lncRNA from 1 species
AUUCUGGGAUUAGAGAAGUCCUCCCUGAGGUUUCUAUUGCUUUGAGUAACAGGUAGCACGUUGGUCCUACCAGCAACACCUGGGAGCCAGCUCAGUCAGGGAAGGUGCCCUGGUGCUGAAACUUCAUGCAUUCAGUUAAAAGCUACAGCCAAGCCUUGCCUGCUGACUCACGCAGGUGGGGAGUUAGCUUCCAGAGUUUUGACCACAAACAAACAAAAAUUUAAGGUGAGGUGGUUUUUGUUUGUUUGUUUCUGCGUGAGAGUAGAGCCUUUUUUGUUCAGCCCUUUGCUUUAUGAAAAGGUAACUGUUGGAAAUGUACUUUCUCUGGGCUUCAUGCUGGGUGUUUUAUGUAUUUCGUCUCCAAAAGAGAUAAAAAGGGAAGCCAAAGAGCAACUGUACGAGUUAGAUAGGGAAGAAAACUUUAUAAAAGCCGUUCAAACAAAUAUUGACAAAUAAUAAUAAAAAGAUGUAGUCUAAAGUGAAGAUGGACUACUGAGAGAAUCUAACUUCUUUUUAAUGAGGAUUGUGGGGCUUAGAUUAUUACAGAUAAUUUGAACUACCCUGUGAAUAGGGUUCCUAUUAGUAAAGGUUAAGACUAGAUUUUUCUUAAAAAAAAAACAAAAAACAAAAACAAAAACAAAAAACUUGAGAGUGCAAAGUUUACUCACUUUUGUCCUACUUCUAUCAUAGACACCCUCUAUGAGAUGUCCAUCACUUAAUUCUUCAGGAAUUAUGAAACAUCUUCACACUCCUGGUGGUGUACUAAUAUACCUGGUAGAUUAGAUAAAUAUGAACGACCAUCCCAUGCUAAUCUAGUAUUUUAUGGGUAGGAAAGUGAUGCCUUUGCGAAUACAUGUGGAUAUUCAUCCUUUUAAUGGGGAAACCUACUUUUCUCUUAAGAAAAUCUUAACGUUUGUUUAUAAGACUCUUAAUCUCUCAUCAUAAACCAGUAUUUUUAUGGAGGGGGGAAAAAAACCCACGAGACUGGCUAAUACAAAUACAGUGUGCUGGCUCUGUGUCAGGCACCGUUCUCAAUACUUUAAUAUAUUUACUUAUUUAAUCCUCCAGCAGCCCUGUGACGUCGGUAUUCUAGCACCAUUUACAGAUGAGAAAACAAACUGGUUGUGAACCUUGCCCUAGAUCCACAGAGGUGGCCUGACUUUGGAGUCCAUGCCAGUACCCACAGAGCAAGGCUGCCAUUUCCACAGGAUUGGACGAGCCACAGAUAUUAAACUUAAAGUGUUCAUAACUGUGGCCAAAAACAGGUUUGCUGAUGGCGCAAGGAUCCGGUCAAGUCCAGCACUGAAGGUGGAUCAGGCUUAGAGUCUCCUCCUCCCCCAUCCAUCUAAUGUAAUUGGCUCCAGAUACUGCCAGGUGGCGCUCCUCACAAGUUUAUGUGUCCUUUGCAGCCCCAGAUGUUGGGGUCAGAGAGAGCACUUUGAGGCAUCAAAGUUUAGGAUAUGGUUUAUUUAUUUUAUCUGUUGCCAAAGCUAUUACAAUAUUGAUUAUAUUCCCUGCGAUGUACUGAGACACAGCUUUCUCAGAGAGCGAGUGGGAUUUAUUGAGAAGAAACAAAAUUGGCACCAUCUUCACUGUCCUAGCCCUUCCUUGGCCUGAGGCCCGAUCUAAAAACUACCUGUGGGACUAGGGUGCCAAUAGAGUUGGAGAGAACCUGAAAAGGUGUUCCUCAACAUGGGAACUCAUGGACUAUGGGAAUUCAUGCCAUUUACCAGGCACUGUGUGUCACCGGGGGAAAUUAUUGCAUGCCCAAGAAUUAAGAGCUAAGUGCCUCUAUGGAACUGUGACAUUGGGAGUGGGUGGGGAGGCAUCAUUGCUGUGAUCGUGGCUGAAAAAACUAAGGGGAGCUAAAGAAGGACUUUUAGGACUGAAGUCUUUGCUGGCAGGGCAGCUAGAGACACAAAGCCUAUUUUGCUGUCACGGGGCUGAGCUAGGAUUUAGGUUUCAUAUAUGCUUCCUUCUAGGUACCCCAUCAUGCCUCCUUUAAAAUCCUUCCAGUCAGGGAAUCCCUGGGUGGAUCACCGGUUUAGCGUCUGCCUUCAGCCCAGGGUGUGAUCUUUGAGUCCCGAGAUUGAGUCCCGCAUCAGGCUCCCUGCAUGGAGCCUGCUUCUCCCUCUGCCUGUGUCUCUGCCUCUCUCUCUCUCUCUCUCUCUGUCUCUCAUGAAUACAUAAAAUCUCAAAAAAAAAAAAAAAAAAAAUCCUUCCAGUCUUCUACUUCUCAAACUUAGCUGCAUAUGUGAAUCACCUGAAGUUAAGCACCUGAAGCCAAUGGCUGCCUCUCAGAGGUCCUGAUUGAAUUGCUAGUGCCCUGAUUGGAAUAGAGUAAUUGGACACAGCAUCACCUAAAACUUGUUAGAAAUGUCAACUCCUGGGCCCCAACCCAAACUGACUGAAUCAGAAUCUUUGAGGCUAAGGCCCAGGAAUCUGUGCCUUCACAAGAUCUCCAGGUGAUUCCAAUGUUUGGAUUUUAAAGUUUGGAAACCAUAGACAAAGGUGUCACAGUGAUUACAGCUCUCCAGGUAAUUCUACUCUGAGAAGAGAUUGGAGAACCAAAAGUUUAACAAAACUGUACUUCACAGAUGAGGUUCCAGGGGCAGCUGCAAGUGAGUUCCCAGUAUAAUGUAGAUGGUGAAGAGCUUCCAAGAGAAGUCUAGAGCAGGACAUUUGAAAUCCCAGACAACUUUUCAACAGAAAAGAAUGGCAAUUAAAAACACAGCCGUGAGUGACUGAGAAGAUGAAAUAAUGUGAUCAUGAGUUGAUGCUGAAGACAAAUCCCCGAUCCUGUAAAAUAAUAGGUUGGAAUGAGUGAUUUUUUUCCCUUCUUGAUCUUUCUCUGCCUCACUGAAAAGGACAAUGGCUGCCUCCAACCGACCAGAUCUCCUGGAAGAGCUGACUUGUUCUGUUUACACUAUUUGAACCACUUGCAAUUGCAAGUGGAUGUAAGUCUUGCUAUGAAUGUCUCUUAAGAAACUGGAAGAAAAGCCCCCGUAGCAUCUACCUUAAGGUCAAGGAGAUUUAAAAGUGAGAGAUUAGAGGUGUAACCUGCAGCUAGGGAUGAUGGCUGAGAUAACAAAGUCCUCAUGAAUUUAAAGACCAAUAUGUGAUUCUAACCAAAAAAAAUCUGAAGAGGUUCUGUGUGGCAGAUCUGAUGUUCCUUUGUGAGAUUUGUUUUCUUUCUUGGAAAUGUGAGUUUCACGAUGUUUACCAUUGAGAAUGCCACAGGAAUCUUCAAGGUAAGAUUGCCUUGUCUUUCAAAAUUCCAGAGGUUCUUUAUCAAUCUUAAUACUUUGGGUCUUUGGUGUGAUACACUUUUAAAAUCUUUUUCUAUCCCUGACCUUUCAAUCAUGGAGGUUUGGGGGCACCAAAGGAUGCUUUUUGACUAGGAGUCAUUGUCACCCUGUAAUUCCUGCCUACGUUUGCUAUAACAUAUAUUUUUAUAUAGUUCAAGUCUAGCAACCUCCAAGAGGAGUGAAUAAUUAUUAU